rnacentral:rRNA from 1 species
GACGAACGCUGGCGGCGUGCUUAACACAUGCAAGUCGAACGGAAAGGCCCUGCUUUUGUGGGGUGCUCGAGUGGCGAACGGGUGAGUAACACGUGAGUAACCUGCCCUUGACUUUGGGAUAACUUCAGGAAACUGGGGCUAAUACCGGAUAGGAGCUCCUGCUGCAUGGUGGGGGUUGGAAAGUUUCGGCGGUUGGGGAUGGACUCGCGGCUUAUCAGCUUGUUGGUGGGGUAGUGGCUUACCAAGGCUUUGACGGGUAGCCGGCCUGAGAGGGUGACCGGCCACAUUGGGACUGAGAUACGGCCCAGACGCCUACGGGAGGCAGCAGGGGGGAAUAUGGCACAAUGGGCGGAAGCCUGAGGCAGCAACGCCGCGUGCGGGAUGACGGCCUUCGGGUUGUAAACCGCUUUCGCCUGUGACGAAGCGUGAGUGACGGUAAUGGGUAAAGAAGCACCGGCUAACUACGUG